UUGAAUAGUUGUACUCAGAAAAAAAACCCUUUUACUACAUUUUACUCCUUUCCUUUUUAUUUAGACUUUUAUUUAGAAUUUAAACUUUUAUUUAGACCUUUAAAGAAGACAUCCAGCCAAUACCUGUAUGCUACACACCAAUUAAAUGGGCUCAGGUUAGUAUCCGAUCAUUUUAGAUUAGCAUCCAAUAAGGUUCAUCAAUGUAGAAUAAACUAUCGAGAAUUGAUCUUCUCAUGCUACACAAUGUAGUUAACACUAAAGCUAUCUGUGUGUGUUUGAAAAUGGAAAAAAUGGAAAAAGCCAUCAGACUACAGGAUGAGCACCCCUGGCCCUACCUCAGUAAAAUAUUUCAACAUGCUGGAGUAAACAAAGGCUUGUAUAAAAUGAGGCGUCUCCUUUACCUCCCUGGAAGGCAUGAACUCCAUCUAAUUUGAAAAGCAUGUUGAAGUAAUUUGCUAUUUUGCUAACAUCAACUGGUUAUAUUUAGCCUGUUUUCUUUGCUAAUGCUAGGUUAGGCUAGCAUUGAUUUCAGUAGCUUAUGUAAUUGGCUAGGCAGCAAGUCACAUUCUAGCUAAUGGUUAUUGUUGUUGCUGUUGCUCUUCUUCUUUCGGCUGCACUCGUUAGUGGUCGGCACAGCGGAUCGUUGGUCUGAAUAUUUGAUUUGGCACAGAUGCCCUUCCUGACGCAACCCUCCCGGGCUUUAUCUGGGCUUGGGAGCGGCACUGGGAGUGCACUGUCUUGUGUAACUCCGGUGGCUGGGGUCGGUUCCCUGGCUGGGAUUUGAGCACCGAGGCUCCACUAGCCCUCCAGGGACCCCAAAUUCUAGCUAAUGCAGAAACAGCAUGAAAUAAAUACAGCUGUGUUAAGAACCAGUUAUGAACACUUCAGGAAGGAGACAGGGUCAUUCUCAAACAGAAGGCCUUCUUUUUCUCCGUGUAAUGAGGAAGUCUAAUGUCUACAGUCGGUCCAUGACGUCACCAUUUCCAGCAAUUACAGGCUAGUUCUCUUUUUCUAUCUUGAUGAUGCUCUUGUUGUUCUGUUGUUUAUACUGACUUGUGCUUUUAGUGUAUUGCUCUGUACUUAUUGUUAUUCUACUUCCUUAUGGCACUGGUUGCUUUUUUACAUACAUAGCUGUAUGCAAGGCAUCAUUUUGCAUGGCCUUCAAUAAUCCUGGAGGCAAGACAUUUCCCUGCCCCGUAUGCUUUAAUGCUAUUCCCUGGACAUUCAUAGCACAAUAAUAAAAGUUGACUUGACCGCAUUAAAAACCUGAGAGGAAA